CAUUUGCGAGACGCGUUUUGCGA
rnacentral:siRNA from 1 species